rnacentral:lncRNA from 1 species
GUCCGAAUUUAUGCCAUAUAUGUUCAACCAGAUCAGCUUUCAGUUGUUGAUGCAUUUGUUUAUCACGAAUUCUAGUUCGAACAACCAUCAUAUUGGUGAUAUUUGAAGGGUACUCUGUAGAAUACGUGAGAUCGACAUGUGAACUUCCGUUGUCCUCUGCUUGUUGGAACUCUGAAACGUCAAAUUGCGUAUAUCCAUCUCGUUCGUCUUCUACUAUCAUGUUAUGGAGUAUGAUACAUGCUCUCAUAAUCUUCCCAAUUUUGACUUUAUCCCAAAAAAAGGCCGGAUUUUUAACAAUGGCAAAACGAGCUUGCAAAACUCCAAAAUCACGCUCGACAUCUUUUCGAACAGCUUCUUGAUGUUGAGCAAAUAAAACCGCUUUCGGACCUUGUGGUAUUGGAAUUGAUUGAAUAAAAGUUGUCCAUUUCGGAUAAAUACCAUCGGUGAGAUAGUAAGCCAUAUGAUACUCUCUUCCAUUGACAUAGAAGGUGACUUGCGGAGCUUGACCUUUUAUUAUGUCAUCAAAAACAGGUGAGCGAUCAAGAACAUUGAUAUCAUUUAAGGUACCUGGAGGUCCAAAAAACGCAUGCCAUAUCCAUAGAUCAUACGAAGCAACCGCCUCUAAAACGAUUGUUGGUUUACUUGAACCCCGAGAAUAUUGGCCUUUCCAAGCGGUGGGACAAUUCUUCCACUCCCAAUGCAUACAAUCAAUGCUUCCUAUCAUCCUGGGAAAUCCACGAUGCUCACCGAUAGCCGCUGAAGAUCAGUCGGUGUUGAUCUUCUUAGGUACUCAUCGCCGAAUAAAUUUAUAAUUCCUUCCACAAAAUGUUCCACACAUGACCGAGUGGUAGUUUCACCGAGUCGGAGGUAUUCGUCAACAGCAUCAGUCGCAGUACCAUAAGCCAAGACACGAAUGGCUGCUGUACACUUUUGAAGAGGAGAGAGACUACGCCUUCCGAGACAAUCUGUCUUUUGACGAAAGAAUUCAACUUCAUUUGAGAGUCGAUCAACAAUAUGCAUGAACAAUGGUUUGUUCAUUCUAAAACGUCGUCGGAAUAGAUUACGAGAGUAUGUUGGAGUUUCACUGAAAUAAUCAUUCCAUAAACGCAGAUCACCUUCUUCACGAUUUCUUUCGAUAUAAACUCUUUUUUUUCUUUUUUUCUUUUCUUCUUCUUGAUUACCGAUGGUUAAAUUUUCAAAAGUUUGAUCAAAAUAUUGAUCAAAGUAUUGAUCAAAAUAUUGAUCAAAAGCCUCAUCAAGUGACUCGUCAAAUGGGUUUUGAGAAGAAGAUGCCAUGAGAUAGUCUAUCGACUUUGAGAUGAGAUAGACUUGUGUAGAAGAAGUCAAAGAAAAAUCUUUAUAAGAAAUUUGGUGUUGAGCGAAGUAGAGAAGAAGAGAGAACAAAUAGUUUUUUCUUGACUUAUAUGAUUAUAUAGAGAAGGGGAGAGGAAAAUAUAUCAAAAAUUUGAUAAAGUUUGUUUUGAUUUAUAUGAAUAUUUAGAGGAGGAGAGGAAGAGAGAACACAAUGUUGAUCAAAGAAAAGAAAAGCUUCUUACGAAUACACUUUCAUUUUACAAUGUCUAUAUAAACUCCAUAAAAUUUAUUUAUUAAAUAAAAUAUAUUAAAAGAUAACAUUUUAAACAUAGAUAAAAGAAAAAACACGAAAAAAGAUUAGUAAAAUAAACGAGAAUAAUUUGAAAGAAGCAUCCAAGCUCAGUUGUUAUAUUCAUCACGUCCGAAUUUAUGCCAUAUAUGUUCAACCAGAUUAAGACAAGUCUGUGACUGUGAGCUCUCCGUGACCUCCCAAUGCUACACACUUUAACGCUUUUUUUUUACCUGAAAAUAAAGACAAGGAAAAGGUGAGAUCGACAUGUGAACUUCCGUUGUCCUCUGCUUGUUGGAACUCUGAAACGUCAAAUUGCGUAUAUCCAUCUCGUU